rnacentral:rRNA from 1 species
CCUACGGGAGGCAGCAGUGGGGAAUAUUGCACAAUGGGCGCAAGCCUGAUGCAGCCAUGCCGCGUGUGUGAAGAAGGCCUUCGGGUUGUAAAGCACUUUCAGCGAGGAGGAAAGGUUGGCGCCUCAUACGUGUCAACUGUGACGUUACUCGCAGAAGAAGCACCGGCUAACUCCGUGCCAGCAGCCGCUGUGAUACGGGGGGUGCAUGCGUUGAUCGGAAUUACUGGGCGUAAAGCGCACGCAGGCGGUUGGAUAAGUUAGAUGUGAAAGCCCCGGGCUCAACCUGGGAAUUGCAAUUAAAACUGUCCAGCUAGAGUCCUGUAGAGGGGGGUAGAAUUCCAGGUGUAGCGGUGAAAUGCGUAGAGAUCUGGAAGAAUACCGGUGGCGAAGGCGGCCCCCUGGACAAAGACUGACGCUCAGGUGCGAAGGCGUGGGGAGCAAACAGGAUUAGAUACCCUGGUAGUC